UACGUAGGGCGCAAGCGUUGUCCGGAAUUAUUGGGCGUAAAGAGCUUGUAGGUGGUUUGUCGCGUCUGCUGUGAAAAUCCGAGGCUCAACCUCGGACUUGCAGUGGGUACGGGCAGACUAGAGUGUGGUAGGGGAGACUGGAAUUCCUGGUGUAGCGGUGGAAUGCGCAGAUAUCAGGAGGAACACCGAUGGCGAAGGCAGGUCUCUGGGCAGUAACUGACGCUGGAGGAGCGAAAGCGUGGGGAGCGAACAGG
rnacentral:rRNA from 1 species